AUUGAACGCUGGCGGCAGGCCUAACACAUGCAAGUCGAGCGGAUGAAGGGAGCUUGCUCCUGGAUUCAGCGGCGGACGGGUGAGUAAUGCCUAGGAAUCUGCCUGGUCGUGGGGGAUAACGUCCGGAAACGGGCGCUAAUACCGCAUCCGUCCUGAGGGAGAAAGUUGGGGAUCUUCGGACCUCACGCUAUCAGAUGAGCCUAGGUCGGAUUAGCUAGUUGGUGGGGUAAAGGCCUACCAAGGCGACGAUCCGUAACUGGUCUGAGAGGAUGAUCAGUCACACUGGAACUGAGACACGGUCCAGACUCCUACGGGAGGCAGCGGUGGGGAAUAUUGGACAAUGGGCGAAAGCCUGAUCCAGCCAUGCCGCGUGUGUGAAGAAGGUCUUCGGAUUGUAAAGCACUUUAAGUUGGGAGGAAGGGCAGUAAGUUAAUACCUUGCUGUUUUGACGUUACCAACAGAAUAAGCACCGGCUAACUUCGUG
rnacentral:rRNA from 1 species